GGGGACACAAAGGGGGAGUUUGCAGGCGUGGCAGGGUGAAAACAAGCCUACAUGGGAAAUGUGUGCAAAUUAGAGAAGACGUGCGAGGAAACUGGAGAAUCCUUGACGAGAUGAAGGCGCUGGCUCUGCUCCGCGCCGCGGUGGCGAAGGCUCCCAAACUUAGGGGGCGCCCGGCUACAGCGCGGGAGCGCGGGCGGCCACCAUCGCGGGGCUCCGCGGCGGUGGGGGUAGGAGGCGGCCGCCCGAGCGGUCCCCGGAGCCCGGCGCCCACACGGGCCCCGCGGCGCAGAGGGCGUCUCCGAGAGCAGGGGCGCCCGCAGGCCGGGGUGCGCGGGCCCCGGGGCUGACAGUCGGAAUCGGAGUCGGAGUCGGAGCCCGAGCCGAGCCGCGCGGCUCUCGCUUCCUGCGAGUCCCAGCGCAGCGAGCAGGCGGCGGCGAGGACUGACGGCGGCCCCCGGGGAAGAGGAGCGGCGGCCGGGCUGCGAGACUGGGGCAGCCACCCGAGCGAGGAGGGAAAGGGGAGGCUUCACAAACCCACACAACUGAAAGAAAGAAAGCAAGCGGUGGGGAAAGGGAGGCGUCUGGUGCCACCACGCUGCGCUCCGGCUCUGUGCACUUCCCGGCUGGGCCGCCGCGGCGGCUGCGGUGAUUUAUGGAACCAGCAAGAGAGGCGGGGAAAUUCCCCCGGUUGCCCCUCCUCUCUCUCCCUGGCUCCCGCCUCAGAACCUGCCCCCCGGGACGCCGGGGGCCGGGGGACCAGCCUCUCUCUCUGCUCGGGGACCGGCCCAGCCCGGGCAGGGGAGCCCACGGACCUUCCCGUGGCUGGAGACGGAGACCCCCGCCAGCGCUCCCCGCCUCCGUCCGCGCCAGGGAGCCCACCCGGCCCAGGUUCCAGCCAUCGAAAAGUCCUUUAAGUUCUAGGACGCUGGCUGUCUGCCUGGCAGCGGUUGGGGAAGAAGGGGACUGCCAUGUGUAGGUCCACUCCCUCUCCUUGAUGUUAUUCAUCACAAUGGCUAGCUAGCGUUCCACCCACAGAUUUCUGUUGCAACCAGCCACCGUGUGCCCGGCACUGGGCUCGGGGGUGUGCACAUUAUCCUUUAAUCUCCGCGACAUGCCAUAGGAGCAAGAAAAAAGAAAAAGAACGACUGAACCGGAGUCCACCGCGCACACACCUGUUCUCCCAAGCAUGGAGAGGCAAGGUUAACCUUCCUGUUUGUCCCUGACUACUGGCUCAGGCUCGCUGAGAAAUCACCUGUUGGAAGCACCUGGAACAAGUCAACCUGCUGUGUGUGGAGAACAGCCACUCUCCCUUCCAAGCCCUGUGUGGUUGCUGCUUGCAGGUUCCUGGAGAACAGAGCCAACACUGGAAGGUUCUUCUUUUUGAGGACUCUCGACCACAUCUAUGCCUUCAAUUAUUACCAAACACGAGUUUAUCAUAC
rnacentral:lncRNA from 10 species